rnacentral:rRNA from 1 species
AUUGAACGCUGGCGGCAUGCCUUACACAUGCAAGUCGAACGGUAACAGGUCUUCGGAUGCUGACGAGUGGCGAACGGGUGAGUAAUAUAUCGGAACGUGCCCAGUCGUGGGGGAUAACGCAGCGAAAGCUGUGCUAAUACCGCAUACGAUCUAUGGAUGAAAGCGGGGGAUCGCAAGACCUCGCGCGAUUGGAGCGGCCGAUAUCAGAUUAGGUAGUUGGUGGGGUAAAGGCCCACCAAGCCAACGAUCUGUAGCUGGUCUGAGAGGACGACCAGCCACACUGGAACUGAGACACGGUCCAGACUCCUACGGGAGGCAGCAGUGGGGAAUUUUGGACAAUGGGCGCAAGCCUGAUCCAGCAAUGCCGCGUGCAGGAUGAAGGCCUUCGGGUUGUAAACUAGCUUUUGUACGGUAACGAAAAGGACUCUGGUUAAUACCUGGGGCGUCAUGACGGUACCGUAAGAAUAAGCACCGGCUAACUACGUGCCAGCACG